rnacentral:rRNA from 1 species
UCUGUGAUGCCCUUAGAUGUUCUGGGCCGCACGCGCGCUACACUGACAGAGCCAGCGAGUUUUUUCCUUGGCCGGAAGGUCUGGGUAAUCUUGUGAAACUCUGUCGUGCUGGGGAUAGAGCAUUGCAAUUCUUGCUCUUCAACGAGGAAUUCCUAGUAAGCGCAAGUCAUCAGCUUGCGUUGAUUACGUCCCUGCCCUUUGUACACACCGCCCGUCGCUACUACCGAUUGAAUGGCUUAGUGAGGUUUCCGGAUUGGCUUUGAGGAGCUGGCAACGGCACCUUGUCGCCGAGAAGUUACCCAAACUUGGUCAUUUAGAGGAAGUAA